rnacentral:rRNA from 1 species
CCCCUAGAUGUUCUGGGCCGCACGCGCGCUACACUGAACAGUUCAACAAGUCUUAACCUUGGCCGAUAGGUCUGGGUAAUCUUUGAACGCUGUUCGUGAUUGGGAUAGACCUUUGCAAUUAUGGGUCUUCAACGAGGAAUUCCUAGUAAACGCAAGUCAUCAGCUUGCAUUGAUUACGUCCCUGCCCUUUGUACACACCGCCCGUCGCACCUACCGAUUGAAUGGUCCGGUGAAAUCUCGGGACGGCGGCUUGGUCGCUUGCGUCCGACUGCUGAAACUUGAUUAAACCAUAUCAUUUAGAGGAAAGUGAANUCGUANCA